rnacentral:rRNA from 1 species
AGAGUUUGAUCCUGGCUCAGAGUGAACGUUGGCGGCGUGCCUAACACAUGCAAGUCGAGCGCGUUCCGGGGGCAACUCCGGGACGAGCGGCGAACGGGUGAGUAACACGUGGGUAAUCUCCCUCCGAGUGAGGAAUAAGCCCCCGAAAGGGGGUCUAAUACCGCAUGACGCCGUGGGGCAUAUGCGCCCAUGGUUAAAGCCGUAAGGCGCUUGGAGAUGAGCCUGCGUCCUAUUAGCUAGUUGGUAGGGUAACGGCCUACCAAGGUUAUGAUGGGUAGCCGGCCUGAGAGGGUGAUCGGCCACACUGGGACUGAGACACGGCCCAGACUCCUACGGGAGGCAGCAGUGAGGAAUUUUGCGCAAUGGGGGAAACCCUGACGCAGCGACGCCGCGUGGAGGAUGACGGCCUUCGGGUCUUAAACUCCUGUCAGAGGUGAAGAAUCCCCGCAAGGGGUUGACGGUAACCUCAAAGGAAGCCCCGGCUAACUACGUGCCAGCAGCCGCGGUAAGACGUAGGGGGCAAACGUUACUCGGAAUUACUGGGCGUAAAGGGUGUGUAGGCGGCUGGGUAAGUCAAAGAUGAAAUCCCGAGGCUUAACUUCGGAAUUGUCUUUGAAACUGCCCGGCUUGAGGAUAGUCGAGGAGAAUGGAAUUCCCGGUGGAGCGGUGAAAUGCGUAGAUAUCGGGAGGAACACCCGAGGCGUAAGCGAUUCUCUAUCCUAUUCCUGACGCUGAAACACGAAAGCUAGGGGGAGCGAACGGGAUUAGAUACCCCCGGUAGUCCUAGCUAUAAACGAUGG